rnacentral:rRNA from 1 species
GACGAACGCUGGCGGCGUGCUUAACACAUGCGAGUCGAACGGAAAGGCCCUGCUUUUGUGGGGUGCUCGAGUGGCGAACAGGUGAGUAACACGUGAGUAACCUGCCCUUGACUUUGGGAUAACUUCAGGAAACUGGGGCUAAUACCGGAUAGGAGCUCCUGCUGCAUGGUGGGGGUUGGAAAGUUUCGGCGGUUGGGGAUGGACUCGCGGCUUAUCAGCUUGUUGGUGGGGUAGUGGCUUACCAAGGCUUUGACGGGUAGCCGGCCUGAGAGGGUGACCGGCCACAUUGGGACUGAGAUACGGCCCAGACUCCUACGGGAGGCAGCAGUGGGGAAUAUUGCACAAUGGGCGGAAGCCUGAUGCAGCAACGCCGCGUGCGGGAUGACGGCCUUCGGGUUGUAAACCGCUUUCGCCUGUGACGAAGCGUGAGUGACGGUAAUGGGAAAGAAGCACCGGCUAACUACGUG